ACUAAGCGUACACGGUGGAUGCCCUGGCAGUCAGAGGCGAUGAAGGACGUGCUAAUCUGCGAUAAGCGUCGGUAAGGUGAUAUGAACCGUUAUAACCGGCGAUUUCCGAAUGGGGAAACCCAGUGUGAUUCGUCACACUAUCAUUAACUGAAUCCAUAGGUUAAUGAGGCGAACCGGGGGAACUGAAACAUCUAAGUACCCCGAGGAAAAGAAAUCAACCGAGAUUCCCCCAGUAGCGGCGAGCGAACGGGGAGCAGCCCAGAGCCUGAAUCAGUGUGUGUGUUAGUGGAAGCGUCUGGAAAGGCGCGCGAUACAGGGUGACAGCCCCGUACACAAAAAUGCACAUGCUGUGAGCUCGAUGAGUAGGGCGGGACACGUGGUAUCCUGUCUGAAUAUGGGGGGACCAUCCUCCAAGGCUAAAUACUCCUGACUGACCGAUAGUGAACCAGUACCGUGAGGGAAAGGCGAAAAGAACCCCGGCGAGGGGAGUGAAAAAGAACCUGAAACCGUGUACGUACAAGCAGUGGGAGCNNNNNNNNNNNNNNNGUGACUGCGUACCUUUUGUAUAAUGGGUCAGCGACUUAUAUUCUGUAGCAAGGUUAACCGAAUAGGGGAGCCGAAGGGAAACCGAGUCUUAACUGGGCGUUAAGUUGCAGGGUAUAGACCCGAAACCCGGUGAUCUAGCCAUGGGCAGGUUGAAGGUUGGGUAACACUAACUGGAGGACCGAACCGACUAAUGUUGAAAAAUUAGCGGAUGACUUGUGGCUGGGGGUGAAAGGCCAAUCAAACCGGGAGAUAGCUGGUUCUCCCCGAAAGCUAUUUAGGUAGCGCCUCGUGAAUUCAUCUCCGGGGGUAGAGCACUGUUUCGGCAAGGGGGUCAUCCCGACUUACCAACCCGAUGCAAACUGCGAAUACCGGAGAAUGUUAUCACGGGAGACACACGGCGGGUGCUAACGUCCGUCGUGAAGAGGGAAACAACCCAGACCGCCAGCUAAGGUCCCAAAGUCAUGGUUAAGUGGGAAACGAUGUGGGAAGGCCCAGACAGCCAGGAUGUUGGCUUAGAAGCAGCCAUCAUUUAAAGAAAGCGUAAUAGCUCACUGGUCGAGUCGGCCUGCGCGGAAGAUGUAACGGGGCUAAACCAUGCACCGAAGCUGCGGCAGCGACGCUGAUGCGUUGUUGGGUAGGGGAGCGUUCUGUAAGCCUGNNNNNNNNNNNNNNNNNNNNUGCUGGAGGUAUCAGAAGUGCGAAUGCUGACAUAAGUAACGAUAAAGCGGGUGAAAAGCCCGCUCGCCGGAAGACCAAGGGUUCCUGUCCAACGUUAAUCGGGGCAGGGUGAGUCGACCCCUAAGGCGAGGCCGAAAGGCGUAGUCGAUGGGAAACAGGUUAAUAUUCCUGUACUUGGUGUUACUGCGAAGGGGGGACGGAGAAGGCUAUGUUGGCCGGGCGACGGUUGUCCCGGUUUAAGCGUGUAGGCUGGUUUUCCAGGCAAAUCCGGAAAAUCAAGGCUGAGGCGUGAUGACGAGGCACUACGGUGCUGAAGCAACAAAUGCCCUGCUUCCAGGAAAAGCCUCUAAGCAUCAGGUAACAUCAAAUCGUACCCCAAACCGACACAGGUGGUCAGGUAGAGAAUACCAAGGCGCUUGAGAGAACUCGGGUGAAGGAACUAGGCAAAAUGGUGCCGUAACUUCGGGAGAAGGCACGCUGAUAUGUAGGUGAAGUCCCUCGCGGAUGGAGCUGAAAUCAGUCGAAGAUACCAGCUGGCUGCAACUGUUUAUUAAAAACACAGCACUGUGCAAACACGAAAGUGGACGUAUACGGUGUGACGCCUGCCCGGUGCCGGAAGGUUAAUUGAUGGGGUCAGCGCAAGCGAAGCUCUUGAUCGAAGCCCCGGUAAACGGCGGCCGUAACUAUAACGGUCCUAAGGUAGCGAAAUUCCUUGUCGGGUAAGUUCCGACCUGCACGAAUGGCGUAAUGAUGGCCAGGCUGUCUCCACCCGAGACUCAGUGAAAUUGAACUCGCUGUGAAGAUGCAGUGUACCCGCGGCAAGACGGAAAGACCCCGUGAACCUUUACUAUAGCUUGACACUGAACAUUGAGCCUUGAUGUGUAGGAUAGGUGGGAGGCUUUGAAGUGUGGACGCCAGUCUGCAUGGAGCCGACCUUGAAAUACCACCCUUUAAUGUUUGAUGUUCUAACGUUGACCCGUGAUCCGGGUUGCGGACAGUGUCUGGUGGGUAGUUUGACUGGGGCGGUCUCCUCCUAAAGAGUAACGGAGGAGCACGAAGGUUGGCUAAUCCUGGUCGGACAUCAGGAGGUUAGUGCAAUGGCAUAAGCCAGCUUGACUGCGAGCGUGACGGCGCGAGCAGGUGCGAAAGCAGGUCAUAGUGAUCCGGUGGUUCUGAAUGGAAGGGCCAUCGCUCAACGGAUAAAAGGUACUCCGGGGAUAACAGGCUGAUACCGCCCAAGAGUUCAUAUCGACGGCGGUGUUUGGCACCUCGAUGUCGGCUCAUCACAUCCUGGGGCUGAAGUAGGUCCCAAGGGUAUGGCUGUUCGCCAUUUAAAGUGGUACGCGAGCUGGGUUUAGAACGUCGUGAGACAGUUCGGUCCCUAUCUGCCGUGGGCGCUGGAGAACUGAGGGGGGCUGCUCCUAGUACGAGAGGACCGGAGUGGACGCAUCACUGGUGUUCGGGUUGUCAUGCCAAUGGCACUGCCCGGUAGCUAAAUGCGGAAGAGAUAAGUGCUGAAAGCAUCUAAGCACGAAACUUGCCCCGAGAUGAGUUCUCCCUGACUCCUUGAGAGUCCUGAAGGAACGUUGAAGACGACGACGUUGAUAGGCCGGGUGUGUAAGCGCAGCGAUGCGUUGAGCUAACCGGUACUAAUGAACCGUGAGGCUUAACC
rnacentral:rRNA from 1 species